UACGGAGGGGGCUAGCGUUGUUCGGAAUUACUGGGCGUAAAGCGCACGUAGGCGGCUUUGUAAGUUAGAGGUGAAAGCCCGGGGCUCAACUCCGGAAUUGCCUUUAAGACUGCAUCGCUAGAAUUGUGGAGAGGUAAGUGGAAUUCCGAGUGUAGAGGUGAAAUUCGUAGAGAUGUGGAGGAACACCGAUGGCGAAGGCAGCCCCCUGGGCUAACACUGACGCUCAUGCACGAAAGCGUGGGGAGCAAACAGG
rnacentral:rRNA from 1 species